UACGGAGGGUGCGAGCGUUGUCCGGAAUCACUGGGCGUAAAGGCGCGUAGGCGGCCUGAUAAGUAGGGGGUGAAAUCCUGCGGCUUAACCGCAGGGCUGCCUUCUAAACUGUCAGGCUAGAGCACAGUAGAGGCAGGUGGAAUUCCCGGUGUAGCGGUGGAAUGCGUAGAGAUCGGGAAGAACAUCAGUGGCGAAGGCGGCUCACUGGCCCGGUACUGACGCUGAGGUGCGAAAGCGUGGGGAGCAAACAGG
rnacentral:rRNA from 1 species